rnacentral:lncRNA from 10 species
GCGGGGCGCCGCGGGACCGCCCUCGUGUCUGUGGCGGUGGGAUCCCGCGGCCGUGUUUUCCUGGUGGCCCGGCCAUGCCUGAGGUUUCUCCCUCAGCCGCCCCUCUGCGGGCUCCCAGACAGGGUCUCACUCUGUCACCCAGGGUGGAGUGCAGUGGUGCAAUUAUGGCUCACUGUAGUCUUGAUCUCCUGGGCUCAAGCAGUCCUCCCAACUCAGCUCCCAAGUAGCUAGAACUACAGACGGAAUGAAGUUGAUAAUAGUGAGACCUUGUUGGUACAAGACUAUGUAACAUAACCUGCGCUUCUCAACAAAGAAUUGCUUUUCUGACUUCUGCACUCAAUAGCAAGACAAAUCUCUCCUCUGCCUUCUCCUUAUCAGACUACUCAACAUGAAGGCAAUAAGAAUGAAGACCUCUAUGUAUAAUAAUUGACUUCCACUUAAUAAAUAAGGUUACUUGGUACACUGGUCGACAAAACCUUGAAAUGUUGAUGUUUAAGGGCUGUUGAUUGCUGGCAGCAAAGAAGUCCAACUGUGCUGGUACCCGAGAUAGCGUCUCCACAUUUUCUUCCAGGAUCAUCACCUUUGUUCUAAAUAGCUCCCACAUAGUGUGAACAGAAGUCAUAUGUUUUAGAUUUUCUGCCUUGGCACCCAGG